UAAUUAUUGACUCAUAGCCUUGACUUUUUCUCCCUUUAAUCCACAAACAUUCUUUAUUUAAUCUUUAAAAAAUUUUUUAAAUCAACAUAUUAUCUCACCCCAACUUUUGAUCCUUAACUUCCAUCUUUUCUUUAGAACCAAACUUCUAGAAAGAGGACUUCAGUUUUUAUACCAUUACGGAGAAAAAUCAUAUAUAUUUUUUCACAAUAUAGAAAUUUUUGUUGAUAUAAGAACCAGUUUUUUUUUUUAAAGAACCAGUUAAACAAUGAAGUUUUAUAUGCAAAACUAAAAGUUCAAACUGUCUCUCUUCCUAACUCUCUGCUGUGGACCUUCUUCAUCUAAGAUAGAUUCUAUUGCUGAUUAGGUGCUAAAAUGAGCGUGAUGCUGAGUGUUUUAUAUGUAUUAAAUAACUUAAUGUUAUCAUAAUUAUUUGGAAAUAUUAUACUGUAUUAGAUCAGAAUCCAAACUUUCAGACAAAACUAGAGGAACACAAGUUGCCAGCUAUGAAUUUAGCAUUCAAAGUUCACCUUCUGCUGCAAUAAGCAGAACAGAAAAACAGCAAAAAAGGGAAAGAGUUGUCAGAAUAUUUUCUUAGAAUCCUUUAUCUACCCCCACUACAUUCAAAGUACCAAAAUUGUGAGUUCCAUAGUUAUCAAAAGCAAAAAAACCCAAAAAACUAAAAACCUUGUGUGUAUCUAAUUCCUUCAGGGCUCUGGAAUAAAUACACACACACACACCAUACAACCUAGAUGCCAAAAGUACACAAAAAAGCAGAAAAUUGUAUCACAUUUUUCUCUUUUCACCUGAUAAACUGUCAUGUAGAUUAAAACCCAAUUCAAGCAUCAGCCCCAUUCACAGGCUUUUCCUGACCGCCAUAGAUCUUCUGUCUCUUCUUUGUGUUCCCAUAAUAUUUUCUCUUAUAAUACUUGCAACUCUCCAUUAUAAUUUUUGGUUUUAUUUGUCCUGCAAAUAAUGCUAGUUCACUGGGGUUAUUACUCACCUCUCUAUCCUUGAGGCUUAGUGUAGUUUCUAGCACAUAGUAGAUGCUCACAUGCAGAAAAGAAGGAAAGGAAGAAGAGACAAAAGGAGGGAGGACAAUGAGAAGAGAGCAGGUAACCACAUUCUGAAAAUAAAAAGUACAAUUUUACAGGAAGUGGUUAAGAUCAUUUGUGUGCAUAAAAGGAGUAAGAAAGACAAAAAUAUGUGGAACGGGAAAAAAAGCUAAAAGUUAUCUGGAUUCAGUGAAGGCAAGGACUUUGAUUUAUGGAAUUUCUUUUUUUCAACAUUUCUUUUUUUAUUUUAUAGAGAGAAAGAGAGAGUGGGGAUGGGGGGUAGAGACAGGGAGAGAGAAUUUCAAGCAGACUUUCCACAGUGUGUGGAGCCAAACUCAGGGUUAAAUCUCAAUGGCCCUGAGAUCAUAACCUGAGCCAAAACCAAGAGUCAGAUGCUUAACCAACUGCACCACCCAGGAAGCCCUGAUUUCUGGAAUUUCAAAAGGCUAACAAGUAAUGUGAUAAAUAUUUCUGAAGCUCUAUGAUAUAUAAUUAAAUAGUAAAUAAAAAAUAAUUAGAAACUAUUAAUAUAAACAGUAAUGUAUCUUAUAGUGGUGACUAAUGACAGGCAGGUUCUUUUAUACAUUCCAAUUAUAUAUAGAGUUUAAAGCAAAAUAGCAGGAGUCAAUGCUUAUACAUGAAUAUAUUUUAAAUAUUUAGUUUGCUAAUUAACUAUAUGUCCUACUACAGCAAUAAUUAAGAUGUGUGAUUUCUUAGUAUUUGGUACACUGAAUAUGCCACAUCUGAGAACUUAGACAGCAAUUUUCAUUAUUAUCAUUAUUACGAUCACAUUUAAUAUCCUUUUACUCAAACACUCUCACCAUGAAAAUGAAGCCUUAUCUUUCAUCUUUUGCUACUCAUUCUCACCUGCUUCAUCGAAUUAAUUUAUCUGUUACAGGUAUGGCAUAUGUAGGUAUCCUUCAAAUGUAUGAUCUCAAACUGCUAUAAAAUUUGCCAUUGGUUUGUUUCUGUUCUUUCCAAUGUUAUGUCCGUAAUAAAUGUAGCUGCAAAAUUAAUCUUCCCUUCCCUAUGCUCAUGUUACUUUAGUUAGUUAAAGAACAAUUUCCUACUCACAAGAGAAUUGGGCUAAAACUGUUAUUUUUUGCAUUUUUGAGUUUCCCUUGAAUGAUUCCCUUAUAUCUAGUUAACAAUCUGUGUCUGCACUUUUCAGAGGAGAACUGCAACCUUUCUGUGAAUCCAUCUGGGCCUUGUUCCAUUUUGAAAUCUAGGGCAUUUUCCUAUUUGACUCCCUCUUGAUGAAAUGUUCCAUAAUUUGAAGUUCAAGUAUUUUUAGUUCUCCAAGGUCAACCAUAGAAGGAAGCAGAAAGCCAACAGUAGCCUACUGCUGUGUCACAAUGCCUACAUCAUUCACCUCUCCAUCUCAUCAUGUAGGCAUUUUGUCAUCUCACAUCAUCACAAGAAGAAAGGGUUAGCAUUCUCCAGUGCCUUUGUGUUCUUCCCUAGCAUCACAGUUUAAUUGCCCCUGGAAGCCUGCAUGCUUUUACUUCAUCCUUUAUCACCAAGAGCCCUUAUAGAGGCAGUGCAUAUCCCCAGCCAUGAGAGAGGCCCUACCAGACAGACUCCUUCCCUGGAACUAUGCUCAGCAUCUCAGCUCCCAGCCACCAGAGCUUUGAACUUUGUCUGUUUGGUAAGAAGACUCUCAAAUCAAUUUUAAAGCAAAUCAUCCAAGAUCAUACACCAAAACCAGACCAUGGAUUUGGUUCAAUUAUAAAUCUGCUGCUUGAGUGAACCAUAGAUAAAUCAUGACUCACCACGGGCUGAACAGCUUUUGCACCAGGAACCUGAUGUCACAGCCACCGGUAAAUGCUGCCAUUGGCACUGUAACUGCAACCACCAAAUAUCUAACACUUCUGCCAUCAGACGUGACAGCAAAAAUGCAAGUUCCAUAGAGCAUAGUUUUUUGAAUUGGUUAUUUUUGAACAGAAAUAAUAUUGAUUUACAUCCACUGGCAGACCCUAGAUCAUAUCUAUAUUCUGGUGUGUAAGGCCUGCUGAGAAUUUGGGUUUCUACUCCUACCUUCGGGAAGUAGGAUUCAUUAUGUCAGCAUAUCACCAAAUAUGUGUAAAAUUUCAAAUACAUCGUAUGUCAUGUUGGUACUAAAUUUGUGGAUUUAAGAUGAGUUAUCUGGGACAGAAAAUAUGUCAAAAUACAAAUGAGAUCUGCAAAGAUGCAGAUAAAAGAACAGGUGAGUUUAUAUAACAGGGCACAAUAGGAUGGGAGCCAAGAUUAAUCUGGGUAGGCAAUGAUCCCAUUGCUUUGGUUACAGAAUUCUAUCCUCCUC